AUUGAACGCUGGCGGCGGGCCUAACACAUGCAAGUCGAGCGGAUGAAGAGAGCUUGCUCUCUGAUUUAGCGGCGGACGGGUGAGUAAUGCCUAGGAAUCUGCCUGGUAGUGGGGGAUAACGUUCCGAAAGGAACGCUAAUACCGCAUACGUCCUACGGGAGAAAGCAGGGGACCUUCGGGCCUUGCGCUAUCAGAUGAGCCUAGGUCGGAUUAGCUAGUUGGUGAGGUAAUGGCUCACCAAGGCGACGAUCCGUAACUGGUCUGAGAGGAUGAUCAGUCACACUGGAACUGAGACACGGUCCAGACUCCUACGGGAGGUAGCAGUGGGGAAUAUUGGACAAUGGGCGAAAGCCUGAUCCAGCCAUGCCGCGUGUGUGAAGAAGGUCUUCGGAUUGUAAAGCACUUUAAGUUGGGAGGAAGGGCAUUAACCUAAUACGCUAGUGUUUUGACGUUACCAACAGAAUAAGCACCGGCUAACUUCGUGCCAGCCGCCGCCGUAAGAC
rnacentral:rRNA from 1 species